CUCCUUAAAGGCCCUAUCUUUGAAUACAAAUAUUGGGGGUUGUUGCUUCAACAUAUAAAUUUUGGGUGACACAAUUCAAUUCAUAGCAAUAUCCUAACAAUAGUGAUGAAUAAAAGGACCAAGUGUGUAAGAGUUUUAUACCAAAUGCACACAAUGUAUCUGAGACACCAAAAAAUAUGUUUUAUAAUUCUGUAUUUAUGUGUGUAUAUAUACCUACACAUUUGUGUACAUAUUUUCAUUUAUUUUUGGAAUCAAGUUAUCUUACUAACUGAUCAUUCUAGGAUUCUUGAGGUAUUGUCUUUUUAAUGGAUUCUGCGUAUGGUUUUGAAUUUUAUAGGUUCUAAUUUUAAAGUAUAAAAAAUGUAAAAAUAAAACCAAAAACCCAUAAUAGAUAAUUUAGUCCUAAAAUUAGCCCUUUAUUUGCAUGC
rnacentral:lncRNA from 1 species